GCCUUCGUGGUGUAGUGGUCAGCACGCUCGACGAGUAACCGAGAGGUCCGUGGUUCGAUUCUCGGCGAAGGCG
rnacentral:tRNA from 1 species